rnacentral:rRNA from 1 species
CUACCAUGGCAGUCACGGGUAACGGGGAAUUAGGGUUCGAUUCCGGAGAGGGAGCCUGAGAAACGGCUACCACAUCUAAGGAAGGCAGCAGGCGCGUAAAUUACCCAAUCCUGACUCAGGGAGGUAGUGACAAGAAAUAACAACUCGGGGCCUCACGGCUUACGAGAUUGCAAUGAGAACAAUUUAAACCACUUAUCUAGGAACAAUUGGAGGGCAAGUCUGGUGCCAGCAGCCGCGGUAAUUCCAGCUCCAAUAGCGUAUAUUAAUGUUGUUGCAGUUAAAAAGCUCGUAGUUGAAUUUCUGGUUAAAAUAUUAGCUGGCUUUGGUCGUUAAUAUUUUAAUCAUCCGUUAGAGAACUAUAGCCGUCCUUAAUUGGUCACUAUAGAGAUCUAACAUUUUACUUUGAAAAAAUUAGAGUGUUCAAGGCAGGCAAUCGUCAUGAAUACUAUAGCAUGGAAUAAUGGAAUAGGACUUUGGUUCAUUUUAUUGGUUAUUGAACCUUAGUAAUGAUUAACAGGGACAGUUGGGGGCAUUAGUAUUUAAUUGUCAGAGGUGAAAUUCUUGGAUUUAUUAAAGACUAACUUAUGCGAAAGCAUUUGCCAAGGAUGUUUUCAUUAAUCAA